AUGCUGACCAAGCUGAAGGCGGUUUACACUUUGGUGGAGCAACUCUACACCGGGUCACAACGUGCUUUAGCCAUUGUGGCUCUGUCCAAUGAGGUUCCCACCCACCUGGUAGACGUACUCAGGCGGCUUGCCGUUCUUCCUCAGCGCUUCCAAGAGCUGAGACGGGCUUCUGCAAGAGCCGGAGCUAUAGCUGCUCUGAGCCGGGCCAAGGCGUUUCUCCCGGAGCUAGACCCGGCCGACAUCGCUCUUGGAUACCCCAGCCUGAAGGAAGAUGGUACCCCCUUUGACCAGAAAGACUUCGCCGCCUGUGUGAAGAGCGUGCGCCCGGUGGCUACCUUGAUUGGGAAUGACACAGAUCUUACCAAGUAUCAGCCGAGCUAUGACGCGGAGAAUCAAAGGAUCCCCACUCCACGCUAUGAAGCAAUCAGCCUGAUCCCUCUGACUCGUAAGCACACCUUCGCUCCAGAAGUUGACCCGGCCGGGUUAAUUGAUGAUGAGGCUCAAUUUGAAGCUUUGAGCGGCAUUGACUGGAAAUCAUCAACCUUCCAGGUCAUGGAAACAGCCGAAGGAGCGGAGAGGGAUGAGCCGGGAGCUUCAACUCAACAAGCACCUUGA
rnacentral:rRNA from 1 species